rnacentral:rRNA from 1 species
UACGGAGGAUCCGAGCGUUAUCCGGAUUUAUUGGGUUUAAAGGGUGCGUAGGUGGUUUUUUAAGUUAUAGGUGAAAGCUCGACGCUCAACGUCGAAAUUGCCUUUAAUACUGAAGAACUAGAGACCAGUUGCAGAAGGCGGAAUGUGUGGUGUAGCGGUGAAAUGCUUAGAUAUCACACAGAACACCGAUUGCGAAGGCAGCUUUCUAAGCUGGAUCUGACACUGAUGCACGAAAGCGUGGGGAGCGAACAGG